UUGAGACGGAGUCUCGCUCUGUCGCCCAGGCUGGAGUGCAGUGGCGCAAUCUCGGCUCACUGCAAGCUCCGCCUUCUGGGUUCACGCCAUUCUCCUGCCUCAGCCUUCCGAGUAGCUGGGACUACAGCUCCAGCCCACACUGUGAAGAGCCUUGUGCCCACAGCUGUGCACAUCCUGGGCUUCCUCCACACCUUGUCCAUAAACUGCCCCUCAGCUACCUUCAGACCCAGGAUACAGACGCAGCCUCCAGAAGAAUAAAUGCUCCAUUAGCAGCUGGCUGGAGCUGGCUGAGGCUCUGGCUGGUGACUCUGGCCUCUGGUGUAGACUUCCCUCAGAGGCCCUUCCUUCAGGCUGCAUGCAGAACAGAUGCAGGUAGCC
rnacentral:lncRNA from 1 species